rnacentral:rRNA from 1 species
GAUGAACGCUGGCGGCGUGCCUAAUACAUGCAAGUCGAGCGAACAGACGAGGAGCUUGCUCCUCUGACGUUAGCGGCGGACGGGUGAGUAACACGUGUAUAACCUACCUAUCAGACUGGGAUAACUUCGGGAAACCGGAGCUAAUACCGGAUAAUAUAUUGAACCGCAUGGUUCAAUAGUGAAAGACGGUUUUGCUGUCACUUAUAGCUGGAUCCGCGCCGCAUUAGCUAGUUGGUAAGGUAACGGCUUACCAAGGCAACGAUGCGUAGCCGACCUGUGAGGGUGAUAGGCCACACUGGAACUGGGACACGGUCCAGACUCCUACGAGAGGCAGCAGUAGGGAAUCUUCCGCAAUGGGCGAAAGCCUGACGGAGCAACGCCGCGUGAGUGAUGAAGGUCUUCGGAUCGUAAAACUCUGUUAUUAGGGAAGAACAAAUGUGUAAGUAACUAUGCACGUCUUGACGGUACCUAAUCAGAAAGCCACGGCUAACUACGUG